rnacentral:rRNA from 1 species
UCCACGAUCUAUAACGACUCUCGGCAACGGAUAUCUCGGCUCUCGCAUCGAUGAAGAACGUAGCGAAAUGCGAUACUUGGUGUGAAUUGCAGAAUCCCGUGAACCAUCGAGUCUUUGAACGCAAGUUGCGCCCCAAGCCUUUAGGCCGAGGGCACGUCUGCCUGGGUGUCAC